rnacentral:tRNA from 1 species
GGUAGCGUGGCCGAGCGGUCUAAGGCGCUGGAUUAAGGCUCCAGGGUUCGAAUCCCACCGCUGCCA